CGUGGCUGCGGCUUCUGGCUCGGCAUCAACAUCCGUGGUGGAUGGAUCCAGCCUUCCACUUGUCUCUCGCACCGAAGUAGACCAGUGGUGGUAUCACUUGACAGCCGGUGAGGGGCGCUGCUGGUGUCACCAGAGAGGACUCCGCUAUCCUAGUGUCAAGCUGCUCGACAUCAACUAUGCUACCCGUGGCUGCGGCUGCUGGCUCGGCAUCAACAUCCGCGGUGGAUGGAUCCAGCCUUCCACUUGUCUCUGACACCGAACUAGACGAGUGGUGGUCUCACUUGGCAGCCGGUGAGGGGCACUGCUGGUGUCGCCAGAGAGGACACAGCCAUCCUCGUGUCAAGUUGCUCGACAUCAACUGUGGUGAGGAGUUGCCCUAUGAAUUUGUGGAUACAGAAGAGUUUUAGAGGUUAAGGGAACUGAAACAGCUUGGUCGUACAUAUCUGGUGUAUCCAGGGCCCGUCCACAUGGGCUUUGAACAUUCCUUAGGUGUUUAUCAGCUAGUUGGGGAGGCUAUGCAAAAUCUUCAAAUGAACCAGGGAAAAGAACUUGACAUGCUGAUGUGCAAAGUGCAAACUGUGAAACUAGCAGGUCUCCUGCAUGACAUUGGACAUGGCCCCUUCAGUAAAAAAAUUUAGUCCCUGAACAUCAGUAUGCAUCUCACUCUAUCAUAUUAUGUCUUAACUACAAUGAUUGUUAAACUUGGUCCUGUUAUUGACUUUCUGCUUGCUAACUAGAAAGUUGAUCACCCUGAAAGAAUUGACUGGCAAAAGGUUAAGUGUGCUCUCAAGAACUUGAGGAUCAAAGCGGCUCCUGGAAAUUCAGAAUUCAAGACUGUUGGUUUGAGUGACGAAAAUGCAACAAAAAAGACGUUUUCAUGGAGGCAGAGGAAUGGUAACAACAGAGACACGAAUACUGUCGAAAUAAGUCUCUGAUUGCUUUCUGAGGCACAAAGGCAUCGAGCUCUAGUAUUCUGAUAAUUUUCUCUGUAUAUCCAUGCGGGGAGGUCACAGCGUUCGACAUAUUUCCUUGUUGAGAUACACCAAACCUCUGUACUCGGCAAAAGUCCUUGUCGAGAAAUCCGGACAGAAGCCUCAAAAAGGAAUUUCAACCCUCGAUGAUGCACUUACACGUACCAACUAUGACUUUGAACCCAUGCUGAUGGCAUGAGGCAUUUCAAUUGCACCAAUGUUUACUCAAAUUGAAGGGAGGGUCCUGGAAGCACCCAAGCAUUUCUUUAUUACUUCUUGAUCAUCAAUGUAACUGAAGGUACCGCAUCAAUGAGACGAGCUCGUGUGUCAGAUACAAUGGAUAAGAUGUUUGCUGUGAUAAAAUCCAAGCUACCUGGAUUACAAAUUUCCUUCUGUGCCUUAUUCCUGAGAGGAAAAACUGUGAAAUUUUUGGUCCUUGGAAGUGGAAGUAUGUUGCGGAAUUCAGCAUUGUUACACAAUAUCUAGCUUCAACAGGAGUCAGUGAUAAUUACCUAAACAAUGUGCUGUUGAAGAUAAAUGCUAAGGAGGGUUAAACACAUUCCUAGCGACAGCGGCCACAUCCAUCCCGCGUCAUCCUUUGCGGGCUGGCACAUCGGUUGGGUUUCAUCCUCCCCGUCUCCUCCGACAUCCUUCCUGGGAGCAAAGCAGCUCCUACCCCCGCCGUGCUGCUAACAACUCGAGUGUAAAGGCCAUCAGGCGCAAGACAAACGGAACUGGAAGGAUGAUUUACUUGCAGCCACAUGCCUCGUAGGUUCUAGAGAAACUUCAGAGAAGCACCGGCCUCCCCAAGCUCUCGCUGUUGGCGGCUUGGCGCCCACUUGGAGCUGAUGCCGUCGGUGUUCUUCCUCUUCUGCCGGUCACAUCACCGAUGUGCUUCUCCCUCAUUGUCUUGCAUCCUGACACCAUGAAGAGGCUCCACCUCUUCCGAGGAGAUGCUCAAGAGGGAUGUGGUUCCAGCUCGCAAGUGCAAUGACGGGAACUAGAGAAUACAUUAGCCUUUGGUAUACCCAUGAUCAAGCAAAUAAUUAAGAAUAAUGAAGGGAGGAUUCUUGGGUACACAUUUAUCUUGUUUUCGCUAUCAGUUGAUCCCUAACUAUGUAUUUCCUUUUGUUAACCGAGAUCAUUUUCCUCGAGUUUUGGCUCAUGCACCCAUUAGAGAGUUGGCUAAACUAGGUAUGUUUGCAUGGUGACGGAUGAGGUUGUACAUUAUUUCUGUUCUGCCAUGUAAGAUUCAUAGUCAUGGUAAAUGGAUAGAAACUGCAAGAAGUUUACUACCUGCACCCAUAUCUCGUGAAACUCUGCAAGGGUUUUUUAAUGAAUUUUAUUAUUGGUAUGCAUUUUCUCAUGUCUUAUUCUAGUUUUCAAGCAUUGUGGUUUCCCCUUGCAUUUGUUGAUACAUGUCAGUUUAACUACUCCGUGUUAGACAUUCUGGAAAUAGUAUGUGAAUUUUCUUUUGGGAACCGCCGCCAACUGAAUAGUGAUGACAUACCUCCGUAUAUAUUAGCCCAGGCACUUUGGCACUUGCCCUUGAUUUGUGGUAGUCAUUGCAAAUAUACCGCAUGCUUGCUCCUUCCUUAAUCUGCAAGGAUCUUGUACCAUGAAUAAUUAAUCUUUCUGAAGCUAGGAUCACUUUCACAUAGUUCCUUAAUACUCAUGAUUCCAGGUCUUGUUCAAGUUGAUCAUGCAUGGCUUGCUCUACGUCAACUCAAUUCUUACUAUUAAUGCUAUUAUGGUCAUCUAUCCACUGUGCUUACUCUUCUAUGUGUGUACGUGCAUGUAUGGUUCAAGGGUGCCUGUGUAGUUCAUGGGCUGCUUCAAGUUGUAAACAAAUUAAGCUUCAGCUGCAUCAGCAAUCACCAACCUAUGCGACACAUCCAAUUUGAGUGAAUUAUGUAAACUUGAUAGCAUAGUUCUGUAGCCUGCCUACUCUCUAAAGCUGUAUAAUUUUCUGGGUUUCUCUGUAACUUUCCAAUGGUUUAUCUUUUCCCCCUUAAUGAUUUUUUUCACUGCAGAUAGAUAUUGCAGGAAGGGCGGGCCUGGUGCAGCGGUAGAGACUCACCGCCUGUGACCGAGAGGUCCCAGGUUCGAGUCGCGGUCUCCUCACAUUGCACUUCGUGAGGGUAAGACUUACCACUAACACCUUCCCCAGACCCCGCACAGUGCGGGAGCUCUCAGCACUGGGUAAUUGCAUGAAGAGGAGUUCCUACCAUCAACUUGACAAGGUAAAACUUGAAGAGUUUCCAAGCUUGAGUUCUGUACAUGUACAUUGUGGAGGACUAUGCUGGCCAUCUGUGGUGCCGCUGUUGCUGCUGUGCUGGACACAUGUGGCCCAUGUGUGAUUUAUUGCUGAAGUAACUUGGGAAAGAGUCUGGGUCAUGCCGAUUUUUUUGGUGCUCCAGCUAAUUAACCUCGCAAGAAGCUCAAGGUUGCACCAGCUAGCCUGCCGUGGAAAAGAAGCUAGGCUAGGCAUUGUAGAUUUGCAAGCAAGCCUAUAUAUGUAUGCUGGCAUGUUCUCAUCUAUCGUAUAUAUCUCAUACACAUAACAUGCACUAGUGUGACUGCAAACUCAGAUAUAAUCCCUAAUAAUAUGAAGGUUAUGGUUAAAAUCGUUCCAAGGCUGAUGGAAACACCAGUAUUCUAGAACAUGUACUAGCUGAUGUAAUUUUCUCGCGCUGAUGGAGUUGUGAUGUUUGCACUUAUUCUUC